ensembl:snRNA U6 U6 spliceosomal RNA
AUACUCACUUUGGCAGCAUAUACACUAAAACUGGAACAUUAUAGAGAUUUAGCAUGGCCCUUGUGUAAGGAUGGUUUGUAAAUUUAUGACAUUUACUCCCAAGCU